rnacentral:rRNA from 1 species
AACGAACGCUGGCGGCAGGCUUAACACAUGCAAGUCGAGCGCCCCGCAAGGGGAGCGGCAGACGGGGGAGUAACGCGUGGGAAUCUACCCAUCUCUACGGAAUAACGCAUGGAAACGUGUGCUAAUACCGUAUACGUCCUUCGGGAGAAAGAUUUAUGGGAGUUGGAUGAGCCCGCGUUGGAUUAGCUAGUUGGUGGGGUAAAGGCCUACCAAGGCGACGAUCCAUAGCUGGUCUGAGAGGAUGAUCAGCCACACUGGGACUGAGACACGGCCCAAACUCCUACGGGAGGCAGCAGUGGGGAAUAUUGGACAAUGGGCGCAAGCCUGAUCCAGCCAUGCCGCGUGAGUGAUGAAGGCCCUAGGGUUGUAAAGCUCUUUCACCGGUGAAGAUAAUGACGGUAACCGGAGAAGAAGCCCCGGCUAACUUCGUGCCAGCCGCCGCGGUAAGAC